rnacentral:rRNA from 1 species
UUCCGGUUGAUCCUGCCGGACCUGACUGCUAUCGGAUUGAUACUAAGCCAUGCGAGUCUUUGUAGUAAUACAAGGCAGACGGCUCAGUAACACGUAGUCAAUCUACCCUAUGGACAGGGAUAACCUCGGGAAACUGAGAAUAAUACCUGAUAGAUCAUUAUGCCUGGAAUGGUUUAUGGUCGAAAUGAUUUAUCGCCGUAGGAUGGGACUGCGGUCUAUCAGCUUGUUGGUGAGGUAAUGGCCCACCAAGGCUAUAACAGAUACGGGCUCUGAGAGGAGAAGCCCGGAGAUGGGUACUGAGACACGGACCCAGGCCCUAUGGGGCGCAGCAGGCGAGAAAACUUUGCAAUGUGCGAAAGCACGACAAGGUUAAUCCGAGUGUUUUCUGCUAAAGAAAUCUUUUGUCAGUCCUAAAAACACUGAUGAAUAAGGGGUGGGCAAGUUCUGGUGUCAGCCGCCGCGGUAAAACCAGCACCUCAAGUGGUCAGGAGGAUUAUUGGGCCUAAAGCAUCCGUAGCCGGCUCUGUAAGUUUUCGGUUAAAUCUAUACGCUCAACGUAUAGGCUGCCGGGAAUACUGCAAAGCUAGGGAGUGGGAGAGGUAGACGGUACUCGGUAGGAAGGUGUAAAAUCCUUUGAUCUAUUGAUGACCACCUGUGGCGAAGGCGGUCUACUAGAACACGUCCGACGGUGAGGGAUGAAAGCUGGGGGAGCAAACCGGAUUAGAUACCCGGGUAGUCCCAGCUGUAAACUAUGCAAACUCAGUGAUGCACUGGCUUGUGGCCAGUGCAGUGCCGCAGGAAGCCGUUAAGUUUGCCGCCUGGGAAGUACGUACGCAAGUAUGAAACUUAAAGGAAUUGGCGGGGGAGCACCACAAGGGGUGAAGCCUGCGGUUCAAUUGAGUCACGCCGGA